rnacentral:lncRNA from 10 species
GAUUUUCCUCAAGUGUGGAAAACACAGCACUGAUGAGAUACCAGUUGCUUUUCAGCGGUAAACUGACAGACUUGAAGCGCUCCCGGCUCAGGGCGCCUUGGGUCCGUGGCGCCACCUGCUGUUCUCGCGGCGCCAGCGCAGUCUGCGAGGCCGUCCCAGCUCUUUCCACCCGAGCGCGAGGUAGACGCCGGGGCCACCCGCAGCACGCAGAGCUUCUGGGAGCCGGUGGCAAGGCCGAAUUGGGAUGCAAACCAAAUGGACGUGGGUGACUGGCAGAAAACGCCUCCCACAAAUGGGAGGGAUUUCGGAGGGAACCGAAAGAAAGUUGGAACUACUACAGCCACCCCAACCUUGAGCAACCAUCACUCUGAUCAAUCAGCAGCCAUCAACAUUGAGACAAGACUCUCCACCAGCAAAAAGAUUAUGACUUGUCCGGGUGCGGUGGCUCACACCUGUAAUCCCAGCACUUUGGGAGGCUGAGGCAGACAGAUCAUCUGAGGUCAGGAGUUCGAGACCAGCCUGACCAACAUUGUGAAACCUGUCUCUACUAAAAAUACAAAAAAUUAGCCGGGCAUGGUGGUAGGCACCUAUAAUCUCAGCUAUUUGUAAGGCUGAAGCAGGAGAAUUGCUUGAACCUGGGAGGUGGAGGUUGCAGUGAGCCGAGAUCACAUCAUUGCACUCCAGCCUGGGCAACAAGAGCAAAACUCCGUCUAAAAAAAAUAUAUAUAUAUAUAUGACUCACUGAAGGCCCACAUGAUCAUUCGCAAUUUUUAGCCAUAACGUAUUUUUAAAAUUAAAGUAUAUACAUUGAUGUUUUAGACAUAAUGGCAUUGUACUCUUAUUAGACUACAGCAUAGGGUAAACAUAACUCCUCUAUGCACUGGGAAAUAAAAAAAUCUGUGAC